UGAUCAUAUCAUGUUGAAAUACCGGUUCCCGUACGAUCACCACAGUUAAACAACAUAGAGCCUAGUCGCAACCUAAAUGGGUGACCGCUUGGGAAUAUCGGGUGUUGUAA